rnacentral:snRNA from 1 species
GGAGCUGAAGGUCAUCUUGCUUUGACAUCGUUUGCUGAGGUUAUUUCUGUUGAUUUACCCUUGUGGGUGUCGCUUCCUCCCUCACUGCACUGAGUCUGCCAGGUCCAAAGUUACACGUUGAGUUGAAGUUGAACAGGACUAUCUUCCAAGAUACAGGAGCACUCUCCUGGUGCCAAGGGUAUAGUGAUUGCUCUGUUCCCCACUAGAAUCUCUAAGAAAACUCUCAAGAAUACUGAAGUGACAGAGGAAUAGAAGGAGUGUCCUGGUCACAUAGAUACUAUAUAACAAGAGUCACAGAGAGUCUUUUCAGUA